CAUUGAAUCUAUUGGCAAUAUUUCACCAGAAAGAUAACCAUGAACAGCCGUACAGGAUGUGGUAGGUGUAAAAUAAAAUUUCAUGUCAUGUCAGCUGGCGAUUGAACACUGCAGUCUGAAUUAGGCCCAAAGAAAGAAGACAUCUCUCUAGUCGUUACAUGUUCAUUCAUUUGUGUCUUUGAAACUGCAGGCGGUUGUAUCCACAUGUUCAAAAGGAGGAUUGGGUCAAGUGCAAAGCUUGCAAUGGCUGGUUGCACAAGGACUGUGCCAAUUCCAACCCCAAUCAGUCAUUAGACAUUUUCACAUGCAGAUGUGACCUGCCUGAGCCGUACUCAUUCACCAGGUUUGACAAACUGAGUCAACAGGCUUCUCCCACUUAUUUAAUCAAUCGAAAGCCACUUUAAUAUGUUUGCCAAUAACAGUUCUUUGACAAAUGUGACACCGUACUGUAUUACUUUAUAUUUGUUUUUAUUUUUGCAGUACUUUGACCUGCCUCAGGAGCCAAGGAGUGAAAGGCUAUAUUUCAAAGGACAGAAUUAAGGUUUGUACCAUUUAUUAUUCUUGUUGUUCAUAUAAAUAUUGCAGUGUUCUCAACUGAAUGUCAUUAUUAAAGGCACUAAAAGAAAUGUUGGAAAGUGGGAAAAGGAAGUCCAACAGGAUGUUCCUGUGGCAGAACCCUGGCCGAAACCAAACUCUCAAACAGAUCCUUAAUGGGAGACCAUCUGCCUUCAGUGAAAAAUACGUAAAUCUUUCUUUAUUAUAUUUUGUGUGUAUGUAUACGUGUGUGUGUGUAUAUAUCUAUAAAUAUAUAUAUAGAUAUAUACACAUUUUUGUGUGAUUUUAUGAAAGUGCAGAACAGUAGAUAAUUAUUCACCUUUACUGUAUCCAACAGCUUGACGACCUAAUCAAGCUCGUAAAGGAGGCAUUGUCUUUGUACUACACUGACUUGAGGAAUGUGGACAUCAUUAUAUAUAUAUUGCUCUCUAAAUCACACAUAAAUACAAAUGUAUGUUAAUUCAAUGUCAAUAUAGAUGUCAGUCUGUCCUCUCUCUUGUAAUUGAUCCAUCUUUUUUAUGUAGGCCACAGUGGACAUCCUAGAGAGGACUUUUUGUCCACUUUGGGAAAUUUGCCCCUUUUCGCCCAACACUCACUUGCCGACUCCGAGGAAGGGGUACCAGGGGCCCAAGGGGCCAAUAGUCCAAUUGCCCUAAAACUCACUUGCUGACCUCGGGGCCUUUUUUGGCCAAGAUACGAUUCCGUCCACUUCACGGACUUUAGAGUAGGAUUUUCCCUAUUUUAAACACCAUUCAUUUUGAAUUGCAAGUGGACACGUUCCCGCAGAGUGCACCAAAGUCCUAGAAACGUGGAACCACCAUAAUACCGCUCCAAACCGAGCGUACGUCGGCAUAGUUCAGCCCCGUAAACCCACGAGAGCGAGAAAAGUUUGCCGACUGAAAGACGAAAAAUGUAUUGCUGUCCCUUAUGCUAACGCUAUUACAGCACUCUAAACAAACACCUUAAGAAUAUCCACUAUGUAAGCAAUUCAGUAGAGAGGCGGAUACUCUUAAACUUUGCAUCAGGGAGGGUCAACAUCCGUGCUGCAUCCUGCCCUGUUCCAGGGUGCAAGUAUCAACUUUCAUGUUUAGAUGGGCAUAUCCAUCAGUCCCACAAGCGUACACACACACUGAAGCUAUUGGCUGACCUCAGGGCUACCAAUACCACCCCAGAUGGGGUCCGUGUUAGAUUUGAACCUGAGUCUAAAUGAGGAGGAACCAGACGUGACUCCAUCAUCCCCUGUCGCUGAAUGUGGUUCAGCAUAUUGUAGGCGCAUUAGCGUAAUUAUGAGCGUGAGCUCGAGAAGGUGCAGGCAGAGAGGGAUGAAUUUUGCAGCGAGGUCCAAGUGCUCCGCAGGAAGCUGCAAAAGCAGCAGCAGCAGCCAGAGGAGCCGCACCUCUACAGUGAAGAAGCAGGAGGAAGUGAGUCUCUCUCUCUCUCUCUCUAUCUCUCUCUCUCUCUCUCUCUCUCUCUCUCUCUAUCUUUGUCUUUGUUCCAUUCUCCCUGUCUUUGUGUGUCUGAUUUUUUUGGUUUUCACCAACUUUGAUAGGAACGUGUGGAGGAGGGAGGCCGGUCCUCGGCCGUGUCGGAGGGGGCAGGCCUGUCCUCGGCCGUGUCGGAGGGGGCAGGCCCAUCCUCCUUCAGCCCGUGGAGUUCAGGCAGCGGCAGGGGGAACCUCAUGAGGCAGAUAAGCCUCCCACCAUCGAUGGAGGAAUACCUUCAGACCUACAGGGCCCACCACGAGGGCCUAGACCCAAUGACAAAAAUGAGAGAGAAUGCGGUUUCAAAGGUCAGCAGGGUAAAAACCUUCAUCCUCUACAUGGGCCACAACAUCAGCCAUCUAUCUGACUGGCUGUUUUUGGAUGACCUGGCCAGGAUCCGUGGGUGAGUGACAAUGUCAUUACAAUUUUGUUUGUACAUUUAAAGAUUCUAUUUGAUUUAUUUCACCCCCUCUCUUCAAACAGAUGGGCCCGAAGUGUCGUCGAGGGGGGGAUGAAAGACACAACCGCCAAGUUUUUUUCUCCAGAACGCUUAAAAAUUUUAUGAAAUUCAUGGUUGGAAUCCCCCCCAAGACAUGCUGCCUCACUCAUGUGCAGUUCGCCUCAAUUGAGAGGGAACUUAAGAUGGGAAUAAAAUCACUACAGCGCAGGGUGGUUGUACACCAGAUGUCCACAAAGCGGAUGAAAAUAACAGAUGAAUAACGUAGUGUUAACAGCUCACUGAAAACCUGCGAUUACAAGACAGCACGUUGUGUAGUAUGAACGGUACAGCGAUCUGACCACUUUGAUAAUUGUGUAGUGUGCCCAAGGCAUUACCUGCUAUGAUGUUCAGUUAUCCAGCCAUUCGAGGUUGAGUCCUCCUCCCCUGAAAGACUUCCUGUUGACUCCGUAGUCAAAGCAGAGCUCUUUACUGAUGGAAAUGUCUUUAAUUGCCUCAAAGAGGAUGACAUCCCUGGCUCCUUCUGGGAAGUUGAUUUGGCAAUGAAGAGGCUUCACAUUCCAGUUCUUACUUGAAUGGUUGAUCUUCCUGCCCAUUGUCUCCACAGAAGGAUGGCACUCGCAAGGAAAUGUCUGCGCAUCAAUGCAGAGGUCCCGGCCACCAGCCUUGA